AUUGAACGCUGGCGGCAUGCCUUACACAUGCAAGUCGAACGGCAGCACGGGAGCAAUCCUGGUGGCGAGUGGCGAACGGGUGAGUAAUAUAUCGGAACGUGCCCAGUCGUGGGGGAUAACGUAGCGAAAGCUACGCUAAUAACGCCUACGAUCUAUGGAUGAAAGCGGGGGAUCGCAAGACCUCGCGCGAUUGGAGCGGCCGAUAGCAGAUUAGGUAGUUGGUGAGGUAAAGGACCACAAAGCCGACGAUCUGUAGCUGGUCUGAGAGGACGACCCGCCACGAUGGGACUGAGACACGGGCCAGAAUCCUACGGGAGGCAGGAGUGGGGAAUUUUGAACAAUGGGCGCAAGCCUGAUCAAGCAAUGCCGCGUGCAGGAUGAAGGCCUUCGGGUUGUAAACUGCUUUUGUACGGAACGAAACGGCUAUGUCUAAUAAAGUUUGCUAAUGACGGUACCGUAAGAAUAAGCACCGGCUAACUACGUGCCAGCAGCCGCCGUAA
rnacentral:rRNA from 1 species